GAUGAACGCUGGCGGCGUGCCUAAUACAUGCAAGUCGAGCGAACAGACAAGGAGCUUGCUCCUUUGACGUUAGCGGCGGACGGGUGAGUAACACGUGGGUAACCUACCUAUAAGACUGGAAUAACUCCGGGAAACCGGAGCUAAUGCCGGAUAACAUUUAGAACCGCAUGGUUCUAAAGUGAAAGAUGGUUUUGCUGUCACUUAUAGAUGGACCCGCGCCGUAUUAGCUAGUUGGUAAGGUAACGGCUUACCAAGGCAACGAUUCGUAGCCGACCUGAGAGGGUGAUCGGCCACACUGGAACUGAGACACGGUCCAGACUCCUACGGGAGGCAGCAGUAGGGAAUCUUCCGCAAUGGGCGAAAGCCUGACGGAGCAACGCCGCGUGAGUGAUGAAGGUCUUCGGAUCGUAAAACUCUGUUAUUAGGGAAGAACAAAUGUGUAAGUAACUGUGCACGUCUUGACGGUACCUAAUCAGAAAGCCACGGCUAACUACGUG
rnacentral:rRNA from 1 species